CUUGAUCACCUGCAGAGAUCAGGAGGUUGGCAACAUGCUCAAAGCAGCAUGCAAGUCCUCCCUUCCCCUCCUCCCUCACCCGCAAGUCUCCCCCCAUACUGUCCUCCCCCACCUCCAGUUGACCAUGGCAUCAGAAGCAGAAAGAACAUUCCAGCGGUUUGCUGUCUUUGGAGAAUCGUCAAGCAGUGGCACUGAAAUGAACAACAAGAACUUCUCCAAGCUGUGCAAAGACUGUGGCAUAAUGGAUGACAAGACAGUCACCUCCACUGACGUGGACAUCGUGUUCAGCAAAGUCAAGGCCAAGAAUGCCCGAACCAUCACUUUCCAACAGUUCCAGGAAGCAAUGAAAGAACUGGGCCAGAAGCAGUUCAAGGGGAAAAGCCCAGAUGAAGCCCUGGAGAACAUUUAUAGACUCAUGGAAGGCAAAGACCCAGCUACCACCGGUGUUACUGCUUUCCCCUCUCCUGGACGCCACACGCUCUCCAACUCCAGGAGGACUCUACACCUCAUAGGACAGAAGACCUCCAUGAUCUGGCCGCCACCAUGUCUCCAACUGCAUCUCCACCUCUGCCUGCUUCCCCCAUUGGUGCCCACCCCACCUCUCGCUCACGUUAUCUCCUCUACCCAGCAUGCUGCUCUCUCCUCCCGCUCUCACCCCCGUCAGUUCCGCUGAGCCAGCUCAUGUGAAGAUCAGCCCGGACGUCCUGUUUAAGAAGCAUCUGCUUGGAGCACCUCCCCAGCGAAGUGUGCACAGCCAAAUAAAUGAGGAACUGGCAAUGGCUUAUGAGACAGAGUGACCUGGUGAGGCCUCUCAACCCCAGACCAGGUCCUCCACUCCUACAUCCUGGCUUGUCUAAAGGCAUUGGUCUGGGAGCCAAAGAUUCCAACCUUCUGUCCCUGCUGCCUCCUCCAGAUCCACAGCUGUUCCAGGAAAGGUCAUGAGAAUUCAAAGACCUAAAGUGAAUCCCACAUCUGACCCCGACUUGCUGUUUUUUUUCACUUUCCCCGUCUACAAAAAUGAGUCCACUACCUUUAUUUAUCCUGGGAUAACAGAACUUGGAUCUGCUCCUGCUUGGAGGGAAACUCUCACGGGCUUUCCAUCGGUAUCCAGAGGCUGUGUGGAACUCCGGAAGAGAGAGAGGCUGGCCUCUGAAGGGUGGGCACCAAUCCAGGCUUGGCCCUCCUCUCUCCCAGCCCCCCUUACCCCCUCCCAGUGCAGGCUAGAGGAAGUAGCAGCUGUGGUCCUGUGGGGAAGACAGGCAGAGGUGCACCUGGCACUAUUGGCAUUUUCACAACACCCACCCGAACAACUUUAAACACACACACACACACACACACACACACACACACACACACACCAGCAGCAGCCUGGGGAGAGGUUAGGCCAAGAGCAGUGACUAUGCCGCUAGAAGGAGAAGGAGGCGGGGGAGCUACCUCACAUCCCUGGAUAGAGGCUGCCAUGUGAGGGGCUUUCUUCCCUCCCAUCUUCUCUCCCACCAUUUUGUCUUCUGCUCUCCCUUCUUUAAUUUUUCUCUUCUCUCUUCUGCCAGACUCCCUGCCCAGUCCUUGGCCUGAUGCCUGACUCCUUUUGUUCUCCCUAACCCUGUUCCCCUUCCUCCAUCCUUUCCUCUCGCCCUAUGAAUGUAGUGAAGGAAACAUGGCAAAAUUAUCCUACCGAGUGCAAAGUGAAGCGGAUCUUGGAAGCUGGAAAGUUUCCGCGAAAAAAGUAAACAAAAUCACCUGCCUUAUCCAAAUAAUGGAGGUGAAAUAAGGGUUUCAGCUUGAACUGUGCAAAUAGUAGGUUCGACUUUUCAGUUUUCACACGCAAACCUAACCCUUUACUCCCUCUUCCCUUUGAACUGGGACAGCACGGCUGUGUUUACUUUCACAGAGUGCUAAGGAAGCCUUCUGGAGAACCCCACGUGAUGAAGUUAAAGGGCAAACUGGGAUAAUUAUAAUGACAGGAAAAUACAAGAGCAGAGAGCAGUGCAAGCCAUGGUUUGGAAACAUCUCACCCUAGAAUAAUGAGAAGUGAGGAGGAGUCCGGGCAGGCGAGGAAUCCAAAUGAGCUCCUGGCCUCCCACCCCCUCCUCUGACCCCAGCCUCUGGUCCAGGGCUGGCCUGAUCCACAUUCUGUCCACAGUCUGCUUUAAACCAUGGAUUUUAUCUCCAAACAUUUGCAUUUCUACAGCAGCAGAAGCAUAAUUCUCUACCCAGAAGUUCCAACUACAAAGAUUCAGGCACCUGAACAAAGCAGUGAAUGCUGCUGCCCAGCCAAGGCCUCACAGAGGGGGAACCGGAGGAGCAAGAGGCCUGGGGGAACUGGCUCCCGCUUCUCUGCUGCCACCUAGUGGUGUUUCUCCCUCCAGCACCAUUUUUUAUUCCAAAAAUACUUCAUCCUGACCCACAGCUAUGCUCUCUAUCUGCUAAAAUGAUGUCCCCUGACCUCAAAACAAACACCCAUCUUCCUGACUCAAAAUCCUAACUUCUGGACCAGAACACAAACUGUAUGGCCCAUAUGGUUUGCGUGGGCCUCUCUGCAGUCACAUCCACACAACAGCCAGGGAAUUUUUAAACAGAUAGGGCUUUUACUCCUCUGCUACUUUUUUUUUUUUUCUUUUGGCCAUGCCGCACGGCUUGUGGGAUCUUGCAGGAUCCCAGUUCCCCAACCAGGGAUUGAACCCGGGCCAUGGCAGUGAAAGCCUGGAAUCCUAACCACUAGACCACCAGGGAACUCCCUUUAUUCCUCUGCUUAGAACCCUCCUAGGGCUCCCCACUGUGUGCACAGCAAAACUCCUAAUGGUCUCUGAGGCGUCCCGUGAUCUGGCCUCUGGUCCCUCUCUGACCCCAUCACUCAUCCGCUCCAGCCACACUGGACUCCUCACUGUUCCUCCAACUCCCCAGGCAUCCAUCUGCUUUAGGGCCUUUACAGUGCUGUCCUCUAUGCUUGGAGCAUUCUUCCCCAGACAAGCAUAAGUUCACUCUCACCUUGAAAUCUUUGUCCCAGAGUCACCUACUUCAAUGACCCUAUUUAAAAAUCACUGCCUGAACGCUCUUUGACAUAAAUCGCAGCAAGAUCUUUUUUACCCAACUCCUAGAGUAAUGAAAAUAAAAACAAAAAUAAACAAAUGGGACCUAAUGAAACUUAAAAGCUUUUGCACAGCAAAGGAAACCAUAAACAAGACGAAAAAAUCCUCAGAAUGGGAGAAAAUAUUUGCAAAUGAAGCAACUGACCAGGGACUAAUCUCCAAAAUAUACAAACAGCUCAUGCAGCUCAAUAUCAAAAAAACAAACAACCCAAUCAAAAACUGGGAGGAAGACCUAAAUAGACAUUUCUCCAAAGAAGACAUACAGAUGGCCAACAAACACAUGAAAAUAUGCUCAACAUCACUAAUUAUUAGAGAAAUGCAAAUCAAAACUACAAUGAGGUAUCACCUCACACUGGUCAGAAUGGCCAUCAUCAAAAAAUCACAAACAGUAAAUGCUGGAGAAGGUGUGGAGAAAAGGGAACCCUCUUACACUGUUGGUGGGAAUGUAGAUUGAUAUAGCCACUGUGGAGAACAGUAUGGAGGUUCCUUAAAAAACUAAAAAUAGAAUUACCAUAUGAUCCAACAAUCCAACUCCUGGGCAUAUACCUGGAGAAGACCAUAAUUCAAAAAGAUACAUGCACCCUGAUGUUCAUUGCAGCACUAUUUACAAUAGCCAGGACAUGGAAGCAACCUAAACAUCCAUCAACAGAGGAAUGGAUAAAGAUGAUGUGGUACACAUGUACAAUAGAAUAUUACUCAGCCAUAAAAAGGAGCAAAAUUGUGCCAUUUGCAAAGACAUGGAUGGAUCUAGAGACGGUCAUACAGAGUGAAGUAAGUCAGAAAGAGAAAAACAAAUAUUGUAUAUUAAUGCAUAUAUGUGGAAUCUAGAAAAAUGGUAUAGAUGAACCUAUUUGCAAAGCAGAAAUAGAAACACAGUUGUAGAGAACAAACAUGUGGAUACCAAGGGAGGAAGGGAGAGGUGGGAUGAAUUGGGAGACUGGGAUUGACAUAUAUACACUGCUAUGUAUAAAAUAGAGAACUAAUGAGAACCGACUGUAUAGCACAGGGAACUCUACUCAAUGCUCUGUGGUGACCUAAAUGGGAAGGAAAUCCAAAAAAGAGGGGUUAUAUGUAUAAGUAUAGCUGGUUCACUUUGCUGUACAGUAGAAACUAACACAAUAUUGUAAAGCAACUAUA